rnacentral:rRNA from 1 species
AGAGUUUGAUCAUGGCUCAAAAUCAACGCUGGCGGCGUGCCUAACACAUGCAAGUCGAACGAGAAAGUGGAGCAAUCCAUGAGUAAAGUGGCGACCGGGUGAGUAACACGUGACUAACCUACCUUUGAGUGGGGAAUAACCUCGGGAAACCGGGGCUAAUACCGCAUAACACCAAGAGGUCAAAGGAGCAAUCCGCUUGAAAAGGGGGUCGCGGCUGAUUAACUAGUUGG